rnacentral:rRNA from 1 species
UAGUCCACACCGUAAACGCUGUCUACUAGCUGUUUGUGAGUUUAACUCGUGAGUAGCGAAGCUAACGCGCUAAGUAGACCGCCUGGGGAGUACGGCCGCAAGGUUAAAACUCAAAUGAAUUGACGGGGGCCCGCACAAGCGGUGGAGCAUGUGGUUUAAUUCGAUGCAACGCGAAGAACCUUACCUACACUUGACAUUUAGCGAACUUAGCAGAGAUGCUUUGGUGCCUUCGGGAACGCUAGGACAGGUGCUGCAUGGCUGUCGUCAGCUCGUGUCGUGAGAUGUUGGGUUAAGUCCCGCAACGAGCGCAACCCUUGUCCUUACUUGCCAGCACUUCGGGUGGGAACUGUAAGGAGACUGCCGGUGACAAACCGGNGGAAGGUGGGGACGACGUCAAGUCAUCAUGGCCCUUACGAGUAGGGGCUACACACGUGCUACAAUGGGCCGGUACAGACGGGUUGCGAAGCAGCAAUGUGGGAGCUAAUCUGAAAAAACCGGGUCGUAGUCCGGGAUUGGGGGUCUGC